rnacentral:rRNA from 1 species
GUGUCAGCAGCCGCGGUGAUACGUAGGUGGCAAGCGUUAUCCGGAAUUAUUGGGCGUAAAGCGCGCGCAGGUGGUUUCUUAGGUCUGAUGUGAAAGCCCACGGCUCAACCGUGGAGGGUCAUUGGAAACUGGGAGACUUGAGUGCAGAAGAGGAAAGUGGAAUUCCAUGUGUAGCGGUGAAAUGCGUAGAGAUGUGGAGGAACACCAGUGGCGAAGGCGACUUUCUGGUCUGUAACUGACACUGAGGCGCGAAAGCGUGGGGAGCAAACAGGAUUAGAAACCCCUGUAGUCC